rnacentral:rRNA from 1 species
GCAGUCGAGCGCACCUUCGGGUGAGCGGCGGACGGGUGAGUAACGCGUGGGAACGUACCCUUUGCUUCGGAAUAGCCUCGGGAAACUGAGAGUAAUACCGGAUACGCCCUUUUGGGGAAAGAUUUAUCGGCGAAGGAUCGGCCCGCGUUGGAUUAGGUAGUUGGUGGGGUAAAGGCCUACCAAGCCUACGAUCCAUAGCUGGUUUGAGAGGAUGAUCAGCCACACUGGGACUGAGACACGGCCCAGACUCCUACGGGAGGCAGCAGUGGGGAAUCUUAGACAAUGGGGGCAACCCUGAUCUAGCCAUGCCGCGUGAGUGAUGAAGGCCUUAGGGUUGUAAAGCUCUUUCAGCUGGGAAGAUAAUGACGGUACCAGCAGAAGAAGCCCCGGCUAACUCCGUGCCAGCAGCCGCGGUAAUACGGAGGGGGCUAGCGUUGUUCGGAAUUACUGGGCGUAAAGCGCACGUAGGCGGACCAGAAAGUUGGGGGUGAAAUCCCGGGGCUCAACCUCGGAACUGCCUUCAAAACUAUUGGUCUGGAGUUCGAGAGAGGUGAGUGGAAUUCCGAGUGUAGAGGUGAAAUUCGUAGAUAUUCGGAGGAACACCAGUGGCGAAGGCGGCUCACUGGCUCGAUACUGACGCUGAG